AGCGCAGGCGGACUUGUAAGUCAGUGGUGAAAUACCUGAGCUUAACUCGGGAACUGCCAUUGAUACUAUAGGUCUUGAAUGUUGUUGAGGUUUGCGGAAUGGGUCAUGUAGCGGUGAAAUGCAUAGAUAUGACCCGGAACACCUAUUGCGAAGGCAGCAGGCUAAACAAAUAUUGACGCUGAGGCUCGAAAGCGUGGGGAUCAAACAGGAUUAGAUACCCUGGUAGUCCACGCCCUAAACUAUGAUUACUCGACAUACGCGAUACACUGUGUGUGUCUGAGCGAAAGCAUUAAGUAAUCCACCUGGGAAGUACGACCGCAAGGUUGAA
rnacentral:rRNA from 1 species